UCCCCCUUAGCUCAGUGGUAGAGCGCUUCACUAGUAUAUCGCUACGAGUACGUUUAGCAAUGCUAUGAAGAGGUCAGUCGUUCAAGUCGGCUAGGGGGAA